GGGGGGACGCAGUAGGAUAGGCGAAGCGUGCGAUUGGAUUGCACGUCUAAGCAGUAAGGCUGAGUAUUAGGCAAAUCCGGUACUCGUUAAGGCUGAGCUGUGAUGGGGAGAAGACAUUGUGUCUUCGAGUCGUUGAUUUCACACUGCCGAGAAAAGCCUCUAGAUAGAAAAUAGGUGCCCGUACCGCAAACCGACACAGGUAGUCAAGAUGAGAAUUCUAAGGUGAGCGAGCGAACUCUCGUUAAGGAACUCGGCAAAAUGACCCCGUAACUUCGGGAGAAGGGGUGCUCUUUAGGGUUAACGCCCAGAAGAGCCGCAGUGAAUAGGCCCAAGCGACUGUUUAUCAAAAACACAGGUCUCUGCUAAACCGUAAGGUGAUGUAUAGGGGCUGACGCCUGCCCGGUGCUGGAAGGUUAAGAGGAGUGGUUAGCUUCUGCGAAGCUACGAAUCGAAGCCCCAGUAAACGGCGGCCGUAACUAUAACGGUCCUAAGGUAGCGAAAUUCCUUGUCGGGUAAGUUCCGACCCGCACGAAAGGCGUAACGAUUUGGGCACUGUCUCAACGAGAGACUCGGUGAAAUCAUAGUACCUGUGAAGAUGCAGGUUACCCGCGACAGGACGGAAAGACCCCGUGGAGCUUUACUGUAGCCUGAUAUUGAAAUUCGGCACAGCUUGUACAGGAUAGGUAGGAGCCUUUGAAACGUGAGCGCUAGCUUACGUGGAGGCGCUGGUGGGAUACUACCCUAGCUGUGUUGGCUUUCUAACCCGCACCACUUAUCGUGGUGGGAGACAGUGUCA
rnacentral:rRNA from 1 species